rnacentral:lncRNA from 1 species
UUCAGCACAAACCCUGCUGGGAAAUGGGAAGUGGGGUGCUGGUGAAGGGCUCAGAAAGCCCGUGAGCCCAACAUCUCCUGAGGAUGCUGCCCUAGGAGCUCAGGUGCCAAAGGCUUAGGCUGCCUGGAAUAGACCUGGAGGCAGAGUACUGCCCUCCACAGACCUGGAGGACAGCCUCGGUGACCCUGUAUGCCCUUCGAGACCAUCAACCAUGGAUUUCCUGGCUCAGCUCUGGAGGGUAGAGUUCUCUCCUCCUGCCUUCCUUCCUCUGUCCAUGGCCGUUGCCACCACAUCCUCUCUUCUGCUACCUCAGUGUUUUCCUGGAGCUCAAAGGUAUUUUUGUUCCUUCAUAAUGGCUUCAUGGUUCACUGGACCGAAAUGACUAAAAUGAAAGAUUUCCAAGAUUUCUUCUGGGAGUAAUUUACAAAAGACCACCAUUUUUUAAUUGCUCCUCGUGUUUAGUACUGGAUGUCUGCUUCAGAGAGAAAUCAAUCUCCGUCUUUUAGGUGCCAUACUGAGCACAUCAUAAUCUUUUUUAAAAAUCUUGAUAAUUAAAUCUUUUUCUCUUGAAUUACUUAAACAUGUUUCUAUCUGAUUUCUCUAGCAGUUUAGAGCAUAACAGUGCACUUACUAUCUCUGUUUACAUUCAUUUAAUUCGUUUCUGGCAGAUGUUUAUUUUGCAUUUUAACGCCAUGAAAAAUAGUAAUAAUCAGUGUGACGUCAAAAAUAAUUAAGAGAAAUAGCAAGAUUUCCUCCAUAGGAGAAUUCUUCCUGCAGAAGAAUGAAAGAAAAUUAAUUUCCCUGAGUUACUAUAACUAAAAUCAUCUGCAGAAUCCCCAGUAAAAGAAAAAAGUUAAAAAUUGACAUGCCAUCAAUAAAAAUCAGCUCACUUAAAAAAAGUCACUAAGUUAAAGAUUUCAUAGCAUCAUUGGCAAGAUUGGUGGAAACGUUUUGUCAAAAACCAAUUUCUUGUGAGGCUGCAUGCUAAGAUUCUCCUAAAAGACAAUCUCCCUUGUUUUUAGAAGUACCAACACGCACUCCUAGGAAAUGUACUGAUUUCAAGGUCAAAUUAACAUGCUGCCGGAAAGGGAGCCUCCUUCACUAUCUCUAACUAGAUGGCCAUUGUUGAUUUGUUGCAGUGGAGCCACACUGGUAACUAUUUUCUGUAUGAUGUAGUCACCCGUAUUAUAAAGGCUGUUGCAAUCAAUGACUAAUAUCCCUGCUUACUUCUGCAAAAUUUUAUUGUUUAUGUUCAUCCUGAUUAAAAAUGUCUGUGUUUAAAAAAUAUCAAGAUAAGACUAUUGUUCUAUAUCCAAAGUAUUAGUUACUGGCCAAUGUCCAAAAAAAGAUAAUUUUUCUCAGGUCGUGAGCCUAAAUCCUGUAACUAUUCUGUUGUUGGACAAGUCUGUUUUUCACUUUCAAUUCAUAUUCAAAGAAGAGCUUGUCUGUGGUUUCCACUGG